rnacentral:misc_RNA from 1 species
GUGAGUCAUCGAAUCUUUGAACGCACAUUGCGCCCGUCAGUAUUCUGGCGGGCAUGCCUGUUCGAGCGUCAUUACGCCCCUCAAGUCCCCUGUGGACUUGGUGUUGGGGAUCGGCGAGGCUGGUUUUCCAGCACAGCCGUCCCUUAAAUCAAUUGGCGGUCUCGCCGUGGCCCUCCUCUGCGCAGUAGUAAAACACUCGCAACAGGAGCCCGGCGCGGUCCACUGCCGUAAAAACCCCCAACUUUUUAUAGUUGACCUCGAAUCAGGUAGGACUACCCGCUGAACUUAAGCAUAUCAAUAAGCGGAGGA